GGACUACCGGGGUUUCUAAUCCCGUUCGAUUCCCACGCUUUCGUGUUUCAGCGUCAGGAGCGCGCCAGUAGAGUGCCUUCGCAUUUGGUGUUCCCCAAGAUAUCAACGGAUUUCACCCCUACACCUUGAGUUCCCUCUACCUCUCGCGUCCUCGAGCAUUGCCGUAUCUGCCGCGGUUCCCCAGUUAAGCCGGAGACCUUUCACGAAAGACUAACAACGCCGCCUACACACCCUUUACGCCCAGUGAUUCCGGAUAAUGCUCGGGGCCUCUGUAUUACCGCGGCUGCUGGCAC
rnacentral:rRNA from 1 species